rnacentral:antisense_RNA from 1 species
AUGCUAGUUUUGAACUUUGAGCUAAUAAUAAUGUGAAUCGAAAAAAAAAUUAAUGGUGUGAAUAUUAUAAUCAGUAAAAUUAAGGAAAAUGUUUGAGUGGCAUCCUCGGGAUUUAGUCGAAAAUAGACAUUCCCAAGAAGGUGACCAGAAUUAGAGUUGUAGUGAUGGUAGUAACAAAGAUAAUAGUGUGUAGUUGUUUGAUGAUUAACGGGAAAUUUAUAAUCAAAAUGACCAUCUUUUAAAUAACCAUUUGAUUUACUUGGACUCCAUGAGUAAGUUUGUAUGAUAUGACUUCCUUUGGGAGACAACUUUGUAGGCUGUAAAAUCUUGAGAGACUCAUCCUCCGGAAAUCCCUGACAUAGAUAAUCCUUCUUCAGAGAAACUAUUGAAAAUGCUGCUUUGCUUAUUUGUAAUGAACUUGAAGAAAGCACAAACUCCAAGUUCCAACCAGGAUUAACUAAAACUCUGACAUCAACAAUAAAUCUAUUGAAAGGAUAUAUCUUUGGAAUCUCCAUAUUAUCUUUAAAUAUUUCAAAUUUCCAUCCACCAAUAUCAUCUCCUGAUACAGAAGGACUUAGAAUUUUAAAAUUCUCACUCUUUUUUUCUCCAUUACAUAAACAUGCUCUUGGAGAAUUAAACAAAUAUUCUGAUAAUGUAUUUCGAAUUCCAGCAAUGCUUCCUAGAUUGAAAAUCCUACAAAUAGGCAAAUCUUCAUCAAUAAAUGAUGGUAUCCAUUUAUUUUCUGGCGUGAAUUCCAAGUAGUCACAAACCUUUGCAACUCCUUGCUCGUCAUUCAUAUACUUUUUGCAGUCGAAAUCCCCACAGCUCACUCCCUUACCUAUUAUCAAACACUCUCCUCUUCUCUCUUCUUUACUCCUUUCCCACUCUAAUCUCACAUUCUCCUCCCAUAUACGAACAAUUAAAUCCCCAGAUCCAUUUCCUACUGAAAUGGGAAUCACUCCAACUUUUGGAUUCCUAUAUGGAAAUAAUACAGAACUUUCAUCACCAGUUAUACCAAAUACUCUCCCUACUAAUAACGCAACAUCUAACCAAAUUACCCUUAAAACCCAUAAAUUCAUCCAAAC